GAUGAACGCUGGCGGCGUGCCUAAUACAUGCAAGUCGAGCGAACAGAUAAGGAGCUUGCUCCUUUGACGUUAGCGGCGGACGGGUGAGUAACACGUGGGUAACCUACCUAUAAGACUGGAAUAACUCCGGGAAACCGGGGCUAAUGCCGGAUAACAUUUAGAACCGCAUGGUUCUAAAGUGAAAGAUGGUUUUGCUAUCACUUAUAGAUGGACCCGCGCCGUAUUAGCUAGUUGGUAAGGUAACGGCUUACCAAGGCAACGAUACGUAGCCGACCUGAGAGGGUGAUCGGCCACCCUGGAACUGAGCCACGGUCCAGACUCCUAAGGGAGGCAGCAGUAGGGAAUCUUCCGCAAUGGGCGAAAGCCUGACGGAGCAACGCCGCGUGAGUGAUGAAGGUCUUCGGAUCGUAAAACUCUGUUAUUAGGGAAGAACAAAUGUGUAAGUAACUGUGCACGUCUUGACGGUACCUAAUCAGAAAGCCACGGCUAACUACGUG
rnacentral:rRNA from 1 species